CGAGUAAAUCAGACAGUCGCGGGAACAAGGCGAAAGCCUGUUCAUGAGGAAAGUCCGGGCUCCACAGGGCAAGGAUAACGGGUAACGCCCGCCGAAGGCGACUUCAGGAAAAGUGCAACAGAGAUAUACCGCCAGCAAAGCUGCUCUGUGUUGGUAAAAUGACGGCCGGUUGAUGAAGACUUUCCCUUCUGCACGAGAGGGAUAGUCUGAAAGGGGGACGCCAAGUCCCUCCUUUCAGGAUUCCAAUCACCCGCCCGCAGGCGACACAAUUUCGAAGAAAUUGUUCCACCCUUACCAGCAGAGCGCAGCUCUGCUGGUAAGGGUGGAAAGGCGAGGUAAGAGCUCACCCAUCGGCUGGGAACAGUCCGAUGCUGUAAACUCUAUCCGGAGCAACACCGGUAUGGGAGCAUACGGUUGGCCCGACCGCUCCCGGGGUGGCUUGAUCGCAGCGGCAACACUGCGGCUAGAUAGAUGACUGUCAAGACAGAACCCGGCUUACAGAUUUACUCGCAUC
rnacentral:RNase_P_RNA from 1 species